rnacentral:rRNA from 1 species
CCUACGGGCGGCAGCAGUGCGGAAUAUUUGUCAAUGAACGAGAGUCUGAACCAGCCAAGUCGCGUGAAGGAUGACUGCCCUAUGGGUUGUCAACUUCUUUUAUAUAGGAAUAAAAUGUUCCACGUGUGACAUUUUGUAUGUACCUUAUGAAUAAGGAUCGGCUAACUCCGUGCCAGCAGCCGCGGUAAUACGGAGGAUCCGAGCGUUAUCCGGAUUUAUUGGGUUUCAAGGGAGCGUAGGUGGGUUGUUAAGUCAGUUGUGAAAGUUUGCGGCUCAACCGUAAAAUUGCAAUUGAAACUGGCAGUCUUGAGUACAGUAGAGGUAGGCGGAAUUCGUGGUGUAGCGGUGAAAUGCUUAGAUAUCACGAAGAACUCCGAUUGCGAAAGCAGUUCACUAGACUGCAACUGACACUGAGGCUCGAAAGUGUGGGUAUCAAACAGGAUUAGAUACCCCUGUAGUC